rfam:Cavia porcellus supercont2_115 genomic scaffold, whole genome shotgun sequence.
GGGGGUUUAGCUCAGGGGCAUAAGCACCUGCCUUGAAAGCAGGUGGUCGUGAGUUCAAUCUCUGGGUACCCA